rnacentral:rRNA from 1 species
UGCAAGUCGACGCUGAAGCCUGGGUGCUUGCNUCUGGGUGGAUGAGUGGCGAACGGGUGAGUAACACGUGAGUAACCUGCCCCUGAUUUCGGGAUAAGCCCGGGAAACUGGGUCUAAUACCGGAUACNACCACNGGACGCAUGUUCUGUGGUGGAAAGUUUUUUCNAUUGGGGAUGGGCUCGCGGCCUAUCANUUUGUUGGUGGGGUAAUGGCCUACCANGGCGACNACGGGUAGCCGGCCUGAGAGGGCGACCGGCCACNCUGGGACUGAGACACGGCCCANACUCCUACGGGAGGCAGCAGUGGGGAAUAUUGCACANUGGGGGAAACCCUGAUGCAGCGACGCAGCGUGCGGGAUGACGGCCUUCGGGUUGUAAACCGCUUUCAGCAGGNAAGAANCCNUAAGGUGACGGUACCUGCAGAAGAAGUACCGGCUAACUACGUGCCAGCAGCCGCGGUAAUACNUAGGGUACGAGCGUUGUCCGGAAUUAUUGGGCGUAAAGAGCUCGUANGUGGUUGGUCACGUCUGCUGUGGAAACGCAACNCUUAACGUUGCGCGGGCAGUGGGUACGGGCUGACUAGAGUGCANUAGGNGAGUCUGGAAUUCCUGGUGUAGCGGUGAAAUGCGCANAUAUCA